GUCUAUGGCCAUGCCACCCUGAACAAGCCCAAUGUCUGAUCUUGGAAGCUAAGCAGGGUUGGCCCUGGUUAGUACUUGGAUGGGAGACCAUCUAGGAAGACCAGGUGCUGUAGGUA
rnacentral:rRNA from 1 species